rnacentral:rRNA from 1 species
UACGUAGGGCGCAAGCGUUGUCCGGAAUUAUUGGGCGUAAAGAGCUCGUAGGCGGCUUGUCGCGUCGGAUGUGAAAGCCCGGGGCUUAACCCCGGGUCUGCAUUCGAUACGGGCAGGCUAGAGUGUGGUAGGGGAGAUCGGAAUUCCUGGUGUAGCGGUGAAAUGCGCAGAUAUCAGGAGGAACACCUGUGGCGAAGGCGGCUUUCUGGGCCUUACCUGACGCUGAGACGCGAAAGCGUGGGGAGCGAACCGG